rnacentral:rRNA from 1 species
CUUGGUCAUUUAGAGGAAGUAAAAGUCGUAACAAGGUCUCCGUAGGUGAACCUGCGGAGGGAUCAUUACACAAAUAUGAAGGCGGGCUGGAACCUCUCGGGGUUACAGCCUUGCUGAAUUAUUCACCCUUGUCUUUUGCGUACUUCUUGUUUCCUUGGUGGGUUCGCCCACCACUAGGACAAACAUAAACCUUUUGUAAUUGCAAUCAGCGUCAGUAACAAAUUAAUAAUUACAACUUUCAACAACGGAUCUCUUGGUUCUGGCAUCGAUGAAGAACGCAGCGAAAUGCGAUAAGUAGUGUGAAUUGCAGAAWUUCAGUGAAUCAUCGAAUCUUUGAACGCACAUUGCGCCCUUUGGUAUUCCAAAGGGCAUGCCUGUUCGAGCGUCAUUUGUACCCUCAAGCUUUGCUUGGUGUUGGGCGUCUUGUCUCUAGCUUUGCUGGAGACUCGCCUUAAAGUAAUUGGCAGCCGGCCUACUGGUUUCGGAGCGCAGCACAAGUCGCACUCUCUAUCAGCAAAGGUCUAGCAUCCAUUAAGCCUUUUUUUCAACUUUUGACCUCGGAUCAGGUAGGGAUACCCGCUGAACUUAAGCAUAUCAAUAAGCGGAGGAAAAGAAACCAACAGGGAUUGCCCUGGUAACGGCGAGUGAAGCGGCAACAGCUCAAAUUUGAAAUCUGGCUCUUUUAGAGUCCGAGUUGUAAUUUGCAGAGGGCGCUUUGGCUUUGGCAGCGGUCCAAGUUCCUUGGAACAGGA